GAUGAACGCUGGCGGCGUGCCUAAUACAUGCAAGUCGAGCGAACAGACGAGGAUCUUGCUCCUCUGACGUUAGCGGCGGACGGGUGAGUAACACGUGGAUAACCUACCUAUAAGACUGGGAUAACUUCGGGAAACCGGAGCUAAUACCGGAUAAUAUAUUGAACCGCAUGGUUCAAUAGUGAAAGACGGUUUUGCUGUCACUUAUAGAUGGAUCCGCGCCGCAUUAGCUAGUUGGUAAGGUAACGGCUUACCAAGGCAACGAUGCGUAGCCGACCUGAGAGGGUGAUCGGCCACACUGGAACUGAGACACGGUCCAGACUCCUACGGGAGGCAGCAGUAGGGAAGCUUCCGCAAUGGGCGAAAGCUUGACGGAGCAACGCCGCGUGGGUGAUGAAGGUCUUCGGAUCGUAAAACUCUGUUAUUAGGGAAGAACAAAUGUGUAAGUAACUAUGCACGUCUUGACGGUACCUAAUCAGAAAGCCACGGCUAACUACGUG
rnacentral:rRNA from 1 species